UCCCAUUCCGGCUGUUCAUUCCCAUUCCGGGUGUUCAUUCCGGGUGUUCAUUCCGGGUGUUCAUUCCCAUUCCGGGUGUUCGUUCCCAUUCCGGGUGUUCAUUCCCAUUCCUGGUGUUCAUUCCCAUUCCGGCUGUUCAUUCCGGGUGUUCAUUCCGGGUGUUCAUUCCCAUUCCGGGUGUUCAUUCCGGGUGUUCAUUCCCAUUCCGGCUGUUCAUUCCCGGUGUUCCUUCCCAUUCCCAUUGUUUAUUCCGGGUGUUCAUUCCGGCUGUUCAUUCCCAUUCCGGGUGUUCAUUCCCAUUCCGGGUGUUCAUUCCCAUUCCGGGUGUUCAUUCCCAUUCCGGGUGUUCGUUCCCAUUCCCGGUGUUCUUUCCCAUUCCGGGUGUUCAUUCCCAUUCCCGGUGUUCAUUCCGGGUGUUCAUUCCCAUUCUGGGUGUUCAUUCCCAUUCCGGGUGUUCAUUCCGGGUGUUCAUUCCCAUUCCGGGUGUUCAUUCCCAUUCCGGGUGUUCAUUCCGGGUGUUUAUUCCGGGUGUUCAUUCCCAUUCCCAGUGUUUAUUCCCAUUCCGGGUGUUCAUUCCGGGUGUUCAUUCCCAUUCCGGGUGUUCAUUCCGGGUGUUCAUUCCGGGUGUUCAUUCCCAUUCCGGCUGUUCAUUCCGGGUGUUCAUUCCGGGUGUUUAUUUUCCGGCAGCUGAUCCAGUUCCUGAUCUCCCUGGUUCAAUCCAAUCGCAUC
rnacentral:lncRNA from 1 species